rnacentral:hammerhead_ribozyme from 1 species
CUGCCACAGAUGAGUCCCACAAUAGGACGAAACGGCCGUCCAG